GACGCGCGCGCAGGCUGCCCAGUCCACUCCGGUCUUGAGCUAGCUCAAGGGAGACGUCGACCAGCCCUGCAACUGCAAAAGGAAGACCCUGGGCAUGCCCAUGAUGGCCAGUACAGCAAGACCCAUGGGACUGCUCAUGCUUUGAAGCCAAAGACUUCACUCCAAGAGCAUACUACGUUGCGAGCAAUACCAACUCAGAGUGCCCCGAGGAGGUCG